UGCAAUCAAUAUUUCUUACUGCACGCCAUCUAGUGAUAGUAAAUAUAAUUAAGUGCCAAGAAUGUUACUAUUUCAGUCGUGCACUAGUGAAACUUUCAACGUUUUUUGAAAAAGUAUAGUAAAGUGAAGCUGUGUAACAAUAACUAUGUCAGGCUGUCCGAUAAUGAAGAUUUUGGUGAUGAGAAUGCAUCUCCAAAUACGAAUCAUGUAUCGCAACCCAAUGCUAGCAGCACUGUAAUUCCUUUAAAGAAACUGGUUCUACCUGCAGAAUUCUUCACAUAUGUAGGGGAAGUGCCUGGCCAAAAUGCCAGUCUAUAUCGGUGUCUAUAUCCUGACUGCGUCCCAAAAAAGAAAAGGGAUGGUUCUGAAAAACCACUUGUGGUGCCUCAUUCUUAACGAUACAAUGCCAAAAGGCAUUUCUUGAAUCAUGAUCCCAAUCAGGAGCUUGGAUAUCUUAAACUUUGGGAAGAUGCUGUAAAAAAUCUGGAUAAUUCAAAAAGUCUCAACAACACACCUAUUUCAGUAAAUAGACGUGCCAUAAUUACACAAGAAGAUCUUGAUAGUUGGGUGUUGAAUUUCCUCGUUGUUGACGUCUUACCAAUUUAUACCGUCGAGAAACCUGGUUUCAAACAACUAGUUCAUUGUCUGGCCCUAAAUCUAGCUUUAUACGGACGAACGUUUUUUACAAACAGACUGGAGACUAUAUACAAUGAAAGAAGGUUACAGCUGAUUGAUUGAAGAGAUAUCAACUUACCGACAAACAUUUUGAAAUGUUACUUUUUUUUAAAGUUAA